rnacentral:lncRNA from 1 species
GAGUGGAAGCUUACGAUGAUCAGUUUUUGGUACCGGUCCCGGCGCCAGAGCCAGUUAUGAAUAGCGGUGGUGAUGAUGAUCAGUUUCUGGUACCGGUACCGGCGCCGGGGCCAGUGAUGAAUAGCGGUGGUGAUGAUGAUCCUCUGCCAUUUAUUUCUAUCAGUAACUGAACUGCGCCGGGGCCAGUGAUGAAUAGCGUUGAUGCCCCAUCUCCUCUGCCAUUUAUUUCUAUCAGUAACUGAACUGAUUUGAGUACAUCCCGACGAAGUCAAGAGACGGGAAGAGGAGUUGAUCGUGAGAGAUCAUAAAUCGUAAUAUCACAAUAUAGAAACAGAUCAACAUAGAUAUAUACUAUUAAAAUUUUAAUUAGCUGAUGAGAGUGUUAGCAAGGCAGAGCCUUCGUAUUAUAGACAUCACGUCGGUAUUGAAAUAAAAGGGUUGCUAACGACCCUCUGUAUUUUACUGUUCAACGCCCUAACAUCAUAAUAUUUGAAUUCGGUAAUGAAAAUGACGUAAACGUCCUUUAAAUAGUAAAAUUAAAAUUCAUUAUAAGAUGCGGAAAUUUGAAAAAAUU